rnacentral:rRNA from 1 species
UACGUAGGGUGCGAGCGUUGUCCGGAAUUAUUGGGCGUAGAGGGCUCGUAGGCGGUCUGUUGCGUCAGGAGUGAAAACUCGGGGCUUAACCCCGAGCCUGCUUCUGAUACGGGCAGACUAGAGGUAUGCAGGGGAGAACGGAAUUCCUGGUGUAGCGGUGAAAUGCGCAGAUAUCAGGAGGAACACCGGUGGCGAAGGCGGUUCUCUGGGCAUUACCUGACGCUGAGGAGCGAAAGUGUGGGGAGCGAACAGG